UUAUGAGCGUGUCGACGCCCGGCAAGAUGCGUUGGAUUGCAGUCUCGUGCUCCGCCAGAAAUUUGGGUUGCGACGUGAGGAGGUAACCUCGGGCAGCGCUUUCUGCGCGCCUGAUAUCCAGCAGGACGGUCGAUAUCUGAUUUUCGACUUCGACGGUGUGAACCACCCAGCGGCUGUCGUCGCGCGCCUUGUUCACCAGAACGAUGGAAAUGACGCUGAUCGCGACCAGCACCAGAAAGCCCGCUGAUAGCAAGGCAAUCUGCCAGAGCGUACGCCGGCGGG
rnacentral:misc_RNA from 1 species